AAGCCGGGUUACGGUGCCCAACUGCGCGCUAACCUAGAUCCCACAAAAGGGUGUUGGUCGAUUAAGACAGCAGGACGGUGGUCAUGGAAGUCGAAAUCCGCUAAGGAGUGUGUAACAACUCACCUGCCGAAUCAACUAGCCCCGAAAAUGGAUGGCGCUUAAGCGCGCGACCUAUACCCGCCGUCGGGCAAGAGCUAGGCCCCGAUG
rnacentral:ncRNA from 1 species